rnacentral:rRNA from 1 species
UACGUAGGGGGCAAGCGUUGUCCGGAUUUAUUGGGCGUAAAGAGCUCGUAGGCGGCUUGUCGCGUCGACUGUGAAAUCCCGCGGCUCAACUGCGGGUCUGCAGUCGAUACGGGCAGGCUAGAGUUCGGUAGGGGAGACUGGAAUUCCUGGUGUAGCGGUGAAAUGCGCAGAUAUCAGGAGGAACACCGGUGGCGAAGGCGGGUCUCUGGGCCGAUAUUGACGCUGAGGAGCGAAAGCGUGGGGAGCGAACAGG